rnacentral:rRNA from 1 species
UACGAGGGGAGCAAGCGUUUGUUCGGAUUUACUGGGCGUAAAGGGCUCGUAGGCGGCCAACUAAGUCAGACGUGAAAUCCCUCGGCUUAACCGGGGAACUGCGUCUGAUACUGGAUGGCUUGAGUUUGGGAGAGGGAUGCGGAAUUCCAGGUGUAGCGGUGAAAUGCGUAGAUAUCUGGAGGAACACCGGUGGCGAAGGCGGCCUUCUGGACAGUGACUGACGCUGAGACGCGAAAGCGUGGGGAGCAAACAGG